ACUCGACUAAACCUAAAGGCGCAAUGAAAGUGAAGGUCCGCCUAGCGCGGACCGAGGGAGGAUGGGACGGUCUGCGGACCGACCUCGCACUCCCGGGGCGUCUCGCUCUCAUCGAGAGAAGAGGCGCACCCAGAGCGUACACGCUGGGACCCGAAAGAUGGUGAACUAUGCCUGGUCAGGACGAAGUCAGGGGAAACCCUGAUGGAGGUCCGUAGCGAUUCUGACGUGCAAAUCGAUCGUAGGAACUGGGUAUAGGGGCGAAAGACUAAUCGAACCAUCUAGUAGCUGGUUCCUUCCGA
rnacentral:rRNA from 1 species